CUGAAAUAAAUACAAUAAAAUAAAAUAAAUCGCUCCCAAUUUUUCAAAAAUCCCUAAAAAAAAUAUGGCGAGAGAGAUCCCAAAAUCUAGCAAUGAAGAAGCGUUCAUCUCCUUGGGAAGCGAAUACUCCGAUCCUCAACAAUCCUUCUUCCGCGACCGAUUUUACGAACUUUACCCUCCGGAGUUCUCAAGAAAGCUUGUGGCGGAGGUGAUUGCGACGUAUUUGCUUGUGUUCGUGACGUGUGGG
rnacentral:misc_RNA from 1 species